AGCAGCCGCGGUAAUUCCAGCUCCAAUAGCGUAUAUUAAAGUUGUUGCAGUUAAAAAGCUCGUAGUUGAAUUUCGGGGUUAGUAGGUUGGUCAUGCCUCUGGUAUGUACUGGUCUCACUGAUUCCUCCUUCCUGAUGAACCUUAAUGCCAUUAAUUUGGUGUUUUGGGGAAUUUGGACUGUUACUUUGAAAAAAUUAGAGUGUUUAAAGCAAGCUAACGCUUGAAUACAUUAGCAUGGAAUAAUGAAAUAGGACGUUCGAUCCUAUUUUGUUGGUUUCUAGGAUUGACGUAAUGAUUAAUAGGGAUAGUUGGGGGCAUUAGUAUUCAAUUGUCAGAGGUGAAAUUCUUGGAUUUAUUGAAGACUAACUACUGCGAAAGCAUUUGCCAAGGAUGUUUUCAUUAAUCUAAGAACGAAAGUUAGGGGAUCGAAGACGAUCAGAUACCGUCGUAGUCUUAA
rnacentral:rRNA from 1 species